rnacentral:rRNA from 1 species
UACGUAGGGUGCGAGCGUUAAUCGGAAUUACUGGGCGUAAAGCGGGCGCAGGCGGUUUUGUAAGCCAGGUGGGAAAUCCCCGGGCUUAACCUGGGAAUGGCAUUUGGGACUGCAAGGCUGGAGUUUGGCAGAGGAGACUGGAAUUCCUGGUGUAGCAGUGAAAUGCGUAGAUAUCGAGAGGAACACCUGCGGCGAAGGCGGGUUGCUGGGCUGACACUGACGCUGAGGCGCGAAAGCAUGGGGAGCGAACAGG